rnacentral:rRNA from 1 species
AAUGAACGCUGGCGGCGUGCCUAACACAUGCAAGUCGUACGAGAAAUCCCGAGCUUGCUUGGGAGAGUAAAGUGGCGCACGGGUGAGUAACGCGUGGGUAACCCACCUUCGAAUCUGGGAUAACUCCGCGAAAGCGGUGCUAAUACCGGAUAAGACCACAGCCGUUUCGGCGGCAGAGGUAAAAGCUGACCUCUCCAUGGAAGUUAGCGUUCGAGGACGGGCCCGCGUCCUAUCAGCUUGUUGGUGGGGUAAAAGCCUACCAAGGCAGCGACGGGUAGCUGGUCUGAGAGGAUGAUCAGCCACACUGGAGCUGGAACACGGUCCAGACUCCUACGGGAGGCAGCAGUGAGGAAUUUUGCGCAAUGGGGGAAACCCUGACGCAGCAACGCCGCGUGGGUGAAGAAGGCUUUCGGGUCGUAAAGCCCUGUCAGGUGGGAAGAACCGUUUCGAUACUAAUAAUGUCGAAGCCUGACGGUACCACCAGAGGAAGCACCGGCCAACUCCGUG